rnacentral:rRNA from 1 species
GAUGAACGCUGGCGGCGUGCCUAAUACAUGCAAGUCGAGCGAACAGACGAGGAGCUUGCUCCUCUGACGUUAGCGGCGGACGGGUGAGUAACACGUGGAUAACCUACCUAUAAGACUGGGAUAACUUCGGGAGACCGGAGCUAAUACCGGAUAAUAUAUUGAACCGCAUGGUUCAAUAGUGAAAGACGGUUUUGCUGUCACUUAUAGAUGGAUCCGCGCCGCAUUAGCUAGUUGGUAAGGUAACGGCUUACCAAGGCAACGAUGCGUAGCCGACCUGAGAGGGUGAUCGGCCACACUGGAACUGAGACACGGUCCAGACUCCUACGGGAGGAAGCAGUAGGGAAUCUUCCGCAAUGGGCGAAAGCCUGACGGAGCAACGCCGCGUGAGUGAUGAAGGUCUUCGGAUCGUAAAACUCUGUUAUUAGGGAAGAACAAAUGUGUAAGUAACUAUGCACGUCUUGACGGUACCUAAUCAGAAAGCCACGGCUAACUACGUG